rnacentral:rRNA from 1 species
UACAGAGGGUGCAAGCGUUGUUCGGAGUUACUGGGCGUAAAGGGCGUGUAGGCGGUUCCUUAAGUUUGCUGUGAAAUCUUCCGGCUUAACCGGGAGGGUGCGGUGAAUACUGAGGGACUAGAGUACGGGAGAGGAAAGUGGAAUUCCUGGUGUAGCGGUGAAAUGCGUAGAUAUCAGGAGGAACACCGGUGGCGAAAGCGCUCUGCUAGGCCGCAACUGACACUCAUGGACGAAAGCGAGGGGAGCGAAUGGG